AUUGAACGCUGGCGGCAGGCCUAACACAUGCAAGUCGAACGGUAACAGGAAACAGCUUGCUGUUUCGCGGACGAGUGGCGGACGGGUGAGUAAUGUCUGGGAAACUGCCUGAUGGAGGGGGAUAACUACUGGAAACGGUAGCUAAUACCGCAUAACGUCGCAAGACCAAAGAGGGGGACCUUCGGGCCUCUUGCCAGCGGAUGUGCCCCGAUGGGACUAGCUAGUAGGUGGGGUAACGGCUCACCUAGGCGACGAUCCCUAGCUGGUCUGAGAGGAUGACCAGCCACACUGGAACUGAGACACGGUCCAGACUCCUACGGGAGGCAGCAGUGGGGAAUAUUGCACAAUGGGCGCAAGCCUGAUGCAGCCAUGCCGCGUGUAUGAAGAAGGCCUUCGGGUUGUAAAGUACUUUCAGCGGGGAGGAAGGGAGUAAAGUUAAUACCUUUACUCAUUGACGUUACCCGCAGAAGAAGCACCGGCUAACUCCGUG
rnacentral:rRNA from 1 species